GCUUGCUGCUGGGGCACAUAUUAAAUUGGAACGAUACAGAGAAGAUUAGCAUGGCCCCUAAGCAAGGAUGACAUGCAAAUUCGUGAAGCAUCCCAUAUUUUU